GAUGAAGAACGCAGCGAAAUGCGAUACUUGGUGUGAAUUGCAGAAUCCCGUGAACCAUCGAGUCUUUGAACGCAAGUUGUGCCCGAAGCCAUUAGGCCGAGGGCACGCCUGCCUGGGCGUCACACGUCGUUGCCCCCCCAUCUACUCCUUCGGGAUUGCGGGGGGCGGAUGAUGGCCUCCCGUGCGCCUCGCCGCGCGGUUGGCAUAAAUGCCAAGUCCUCGGCGACGCACGCCACGACAAUCGGUGGUUGCGAAACCUCGGUUGCCCGUCGUGUGCGGUCGUCGCGCAUCGAGGGCUCGAAAAAAUUGCCGGGUUCCGGCUCGGCUUUCAACGCGACCCCAGGUCAGGCGGGGUUACCCGCUGAAUUUAAGCAUAUCAAUAAGCGGAGGA
rnacentral:misc_RNA from 1 species